rnacentral:rRNA from 1 species
AGUUCGUAGGUGACCUGCGGAGGAUCAUUACAUGAUUAGUGAUUCUGGGGUGACUUGCUCUCUCCAGGACCUAUCUACCCCUCUGUCUAUCAAUACCCACUGUUUCCUCGGUAGGCUUGCCUGCCCAAGGGGACCUUUCAACCCUGUGUAAUAAUGAAGUCUCGGUAUUUGAAAAAAUCAUUUACAACUUUCAACAAUGGAUCUCUUGGUUCUGGCAUCGAUGAAGAACGCAGCGAAAUGCGAUAAGUAGUGUGAAUUGCAGAAUUCAGUGAAUCAUCGAAUCUUUGAACGCACAUUGCGCCCUUUGGUAUUCCAUUGGGCAUGCCUGUUCGAGCGUCAUUUCAACGCUCAAGCUCUGCUUGGUGUUGGGUGCUUGUUCUGCUUUCAUGUUUGAACUCACCUUAAAAUUAUUGGCAGCCGGCACUACGACUCCUAUACGCAGCAGAUUGCGCGAUUAGAAGUAGGCAGCUUGGUGUUCCAAAAAGACAUUCUCAGUUUGACCUCGGAUCAGGUAGGGAUACCCGCUGAACUUAAGCAUAUCAAUAAGCGGAGG